CCUGGGUCAGGUAAGUGGGGCACGAAUGACUGGUAAUCACCAGGGCGUGGUCACAACUCUGCUGAGCUCCUAUCGGGCCAACAUUUCCAUCAGUGUCGAGUCUUUAGGUGGGGAACAAGUCAGGGACAAAUGCACCGUGAACCAGACCUGUUCAAGGAUCCGGGGACUAGCAUCAGGUGAAGGCCAGGCCCAAGUCCUGAAGCAUCUCCAACCUGAAAGGAACUCCAGGCCCAAAGUUCAGGAAGUGGACCUUGAUGUGCACCUAAAUACAUAUCCUCAUAUGUGAUUCGUUCUUGGAAAGCCAGGCAGCUGCUGCUGGUCCUGCCCAGAGGCUUGGCAGCUGCGGUGGAACUGGAGUGUAGCGGGAUGGGACAGCUGGUGGGCAAACAUGGAAGCCAGUUUGGAUCAUGG
rnacentral:lncRNA from 1 species